GGUCAUUAAGAAAUCAAAAGACAUGGAAAAGAGAGAAGCUGAGUUAUUGGAAGCAGAAGAGUUCUUAAAACCCGAAGAUGGGCAACAACAAAAGGAGACUGAAGAGAAGAAGGGAUGGCCGGAUCAGGAAGACCAGGAAGCGCCACUUCAGAGAAUAGAAGAAAUUAUGAAGCGGACAAGAAAAACAGAUGUGAAUGCCUCAAAGGUCACAGAAACACCCUGCCAUGACACAUAUGAGGAGGCCGAGGCUACCAGUGAAUAAAGUGACACGGACUCAUUGAAUGAAAUGUUUCCAUCAGACACUUUAAAUGGCAAAGAUCCAUCUUCCAAAUUGAAAACGUCAAUUAAGAAUAUCAAGAAGAUGCCGCCCAAGCUGGUAUUUCUGCAAGACAGUAACAGCCAGGUCCAUAAAAAGCCAAAGACAUAUUUUAAUAGUGAUUUUAAAACCUUCAGACCAAAAAGCGCAAAAGACACUUCAACACAGGCAGUCAUUUCAAGACCAUCUACCAAAAGAAUGACCAGUCGUACAACAAAAACCAGAAAGGCAGAUGAAACCAAUACCACCAACAGAUCCUCUGUUAGUAUGAAUUAUGAGCAGCAGCAUAUCUGUGACAAGAUUACCAACAUUGUAAGUCACACCAGACUGUCUUUGUCACGUUUUUCUCCUGACAGCCACAAACAAAAUCUGGAGGAUUCCAUGACAUCUUGCCAAAGUCUCCAGACACCUUUAGACGAUAAGAGAAGCAGCAAACCUGUUUAUCCUAUUCAGGUAGGGCCUCAUCUCAUCUACCUUUUUCUUGAAAGGCAAUUGACCCCGAAACCCCCUCCCCUCCUUCUAGCUGUUACAGGGCAGUCUUUGCACCACAUAGCUUUGGAAGAGAAGAAGACAGUUACGGGUCUGCAGGAAUGAUGUGAGAGUCUUCCAUUAAGCUAGUUUUGAGAGAGUAGAGAGUAGAUGACUUGUUUCUAAUUUUUAUGUCCCACAUUUCCUGCCAGAUAUAAAAAAUAAGCUCUGACCAGGUGCGGUGACUCAGGCCUAUAAUCUCAGCACUUGGGGAGGCCGAGGUGGGCAGAUCACUUGAGGUCAGGAGUUUGAGACCAGACUGGCCAACAUGGUGAAACCCUCAGCUCUACUAAAAGUACAAAAAUUAGCUGGGUGUGGUAGUGCAUGCCUGUAAUCCCAGCUCUACUUGGGAGACUGAGGCAGGAGAAUCACUUAAACCUGGGAGGCAGAGGUUGCAGUGAGCCGAGAUCACACCACUGCACUCCAGCCUGGGCGACAGUACAAGACUCUUUCUCAAUAAAAAAAGUUCUUUUCAAACUUACAUCUCAGACUCCUCUUAGCUCCUGGUCUGCCGGUUGCUUGGCAAGCAUGGAAACAUUUGCUUAGGGCAGAAUAUUAGGAAGGUCUUUGGAAUAGCCUCAACCUAUGUUUCCAAAACUGGAAGCCCCUUGUUUUUCUUUCCUUGAGAAGCUCUCUUUGAAAUUGAGAAACACCUUGGGCUUGGUCGGGAGCUGGGGACGGGGAGGACAUUUAUAGGAUCACCAGUAUGUCAGCAACUCCAGGAGCAUGUGCCCUGAAGCGAGGCCAGGGACCAGUUGCUGUGAGACUAGUAUCUUCUCUACUAAUCUUUCUUUUAUUUUUCCCUCUGGUCAGAUAUGUAAACUUUUCUCAGCCUGGGAGGUAAAUACAUCGUCCACUUGGAUAACUCAACUCCUGGGCCAUCAGUCCUCAAAUUUUUUGCUUCUGACUUGAACCUGGCAAAGGAUGUGACACCGAAAAAUUAAGGAAGCUUCAGAAGGUCACCUUAAUAUAUGUCUUAGAAGAUGCGCAAAUCAUCUUGUCCUCUUGUUUCUAAGCAAGAGUUCCGAGUAAAGUGUUGUUUCUGUUUUGUUUGGAAAAUCACAAUUGUCUCUCAUUCUUGUGUUUUCCUAUCAACGUGUUUGCUGGAGUGAGUGUGUAUCAAGGUUGCUUUCCUGAAACUGUAACUGUAGAGUUUCUAGAAGAAUCUGAUUGCAGAGCUAAUUCUCUUUCAGUAUAUAUUUGAAAUCUUAAAGUAAUGCUUUUUUUUUUUUUUUUUAUUGAGAGUCUCGCCCUGUUACCCAGGCUGCAGUACGGUGGCGUGAUCUCAGCUCACUGCAACCUCCACUUCCUGGUCUCAAGCAUUUCUCCUGUCUCAGCCUCCUAAGCAGCUGGGAUUACAGACAUGCACCACCACGCCUGGCUAAUUUUUUGUAUUUUGAGUAGAGAUGGGGUUUCACCAUGUUGGCUAGGCUGGUCUUGAACUCCUGGCCUCCAGUGAUCCACCCGCCUUGGCCUCUGAAGGUGCUGGGAUUAUAGGCGUGAGCCACCACACUCGGCCAAGUAAUGCUUUUUCUGUGUACCAGUGACAAUUUUGAGAGCUCAACACUCACAGUUGAUCUUGUAAAGAACAUAAUAGAUUAUGCAAGGGCUGCAGGAUCGCUCACAGGAGCUGUGUCACAUUGCUUCUUAUAUACGAAAACCAAAGGUUACAGAAUAUAGUAAAUUGUAUUUUACCAUGAUAUAUGUAUAUGUUUAACUCUACCCAUCUGUACCAGUGAGUAUACAGGCACUAAUAGCCUCAAAUGUUGGGAGUCCUGUGACACUCCAUCUUGGAACAGCCAGCACCUUUCAUGCUUUGGCAGUGUUUCCUUUUGAAGGACACAUUGGGGUUUAUCUACAGAAAUAUGUAUUCUUUUUAUUGUGUUCAUAAAGGAGUACAUGGCUGUUGUCUCAUGGGUAAUGUUUAAUUCCUAUAAAUGUUUAAAGUAUUUUUCUGCCUGUACUCUCCAGUUCUGUCCUUGAGUAUACAUUCAGGCUUGAGGUGUAAUCAAAAUUUGCUUGCCUUUCCCUAGCCACUGGCUGUCAGUGAGUUCCCGUGAUGGGCACACAGAAAUGCACACAGAUGUACAUACAUGUAUGCGUGCACAGACCAUAUAUGUUUCCAUAAAACUCAAAUGCAGAUGAAUUGUCCUAACGCUAAUGAAUUUUCAGUGUUGAAUCGCAAAUAGUCCAAAGCAGGUGAGUGUUCCUUUUGGCCGCCAGUUUUGGAUUAGUAAAAGGAAGUAAUUCUUUCAGAUUCCCUGGUUCUUUGCCACUUAGAGUACUGUGCCUUUGAUAUAGAAUAGAGUGGGUUACCUUUGGUUUAAACACUAUUUUUAUAUACUAGAUCUUUCAUAUAUAAAGCAGAGACAAUCAUCCUAACAAAUGAGUUUCUGUUAUUUUUGUGCACAAAUGUCAUGUGUUGAAACACUCUGUUACAGUUCCAUAUAAAUGUGUGCUAUAUGAAGUAAACUUUACAGAUAAAACAGGGUUUUUUCAUUAUAAUACUAAAAAAAAAUGUACUGGUGGUGGUAUAAAGGCGACACCAAUCGUUGGCCAAGCUAUGAACACAGGCAGCCAGCAAAUUCAAUGAACAAGGAUGAAAUCUUCUGAUCUCCCUCUUCAUCCAGUUGGUGAUUUGGCAGAGUUCCACUUCUGGAAUAGAAAGAUGUGAGGUUGUUUGUUUGUUUGUUGUUUGUUUGUUUUAGAGACAAGGUCUCACUCUGUGGCCCACGCUGGAGUGCAGUGGCAUGAUCAUAGCUCACUGCAGCCUCAAACUCUGAUAUUCAUGCAGUCCUCCAGCCUCAGCCUCCUGAGUAGCUAGGACCACAGGCAUGGCACCAUACCUGGCUUUUUGUUGUUGUUCUUGUUAUGUUUCCCAGGCUGGUCUUGAACGACCGGCCCUAAGUGAUCUUCCUGCCUCAGUCUCCAAAAAUGCUGUGAUACACCCAGCCUAGAUGUGCAUUUCCAAGCUCUGGUUGUCUUCCUGCAACUAUUUCAGUGCUUGUUACUCUUCCCUGUUAUGGUUCUGUUGUGUAAGUUGAGGCUUAUUACUACAGUAUCUUUUGAUUUUUUUUUUUAAAAAAAUGUUAUGUUGUUUCUUUCUUGCCCUGUUUUAUGGUGCUGACCUUGCUUUUUUUUUUAUCAUAAUAAAAAUC
rnacentral:lncRNA from 1 species